rnacentral:rRNA from 1 species
AUUGAACGCUGGCGGCAUGCCUUACACAUGCAAGUCGAACGGUAACGGGCCUUCGGGUGCCGACGAGUGGCGAACGGGUGAGUAAUAUAUCGGAACGUACCUUUCAGUGGGGGAUAACGUAGCGAAAGUUACGCUAAUACCGCAUAUUCUGUGCGCAGGAAAGCAGGGGACCUUCGGGCCUUGCGCUGAUUGAGCGGCCGAUAUCAGAUUAGCUAGUUGGUGAGGUAAAGGCUCACCAAGGCGACGAUCUGUAGCGGGUCUGAGAGGAUGAUCCGCCACACUGGAACUGAGACACGGUCCAGACUCCUACGGGAGGCAGCAGUGGGGAAUUUUGGACAAUGGGGGCAACCCUGAUCCAGCCAUGCCGCGUGAGUGAUGAAGGCCUUCGGGUCGUAAAGCUCUUUUCUGAGGGAAGAACAGCCGGGGGAGGAAAUGUCCCCGGCCUGACGGUACCUUAGGAAUAAGGGACGGCUAACUCCGUGCCAGCAGCCGCAGUAAGAC